AUGCAGAAAUUAUAAAAACUAUUUCUGAGAAUGGUGAUAUCUUACAGUCUUUGGUAAAAAUGGGUUACAAGCGAGAGGAGGCUUUGAUUGCUAUAGAAAGAUUAGGUGCAAAUUCCUCACUUAUGGAAUUGAUAGAUUUUAUUGGUGUUGC